rnacentral:rRNA from 1 species
GACGAACGCUGACGGUGUGCUUUAGGCAUGCAAGUCGAACGAGAAAACCCUUCGGGGUGAGUAGAGUGGCGAACGGGUGAGUAACACGUGGGCAACCUGCCCCUCGCAGGGGGAUAACCGGAGGAAACUCCGGCUAAUACCCCGUAAGCUUUCAGGGUCGAAUGGCUCUGUAAGGAAAGGUAGCUUCGGCCAUCCGGCGAGGGAUGGGCCCGCGGUGCAUUAGCUAGUUGGUGGGGUAAUGGCCCACCAAGGCAACGANGCGUAGCUGGUCUGAGAGGAUGAUCAGCCACACUGGGACUGAGACACGGCCCAGACUCCUACGGGAGGCAGCAGCCAGGAAUCUUGGGCAAUGGGCGAAAGCCUGACCCAGCAACACCGUGUGGGC